AUUGAACGCUGGCGGCAGGCCUAACACAUGCAAGUCGAACGAGUGGCGGACGGGUGAGUAAUGUCUGGGGAACUGCCCGAUAGAGGGGGAUAACUACUGGAAACGGUGGCUAAUACCGCAUACCAUCGGAUGUGCCCAUAUGGGAUUAGCUAGUAGGUGGGGUAAUGGCUCACCUAGGCGACGAUCCCUAGCUGGUCUGAGAGGAUGAUCAGCCACACUGGAACUGAGACACGGCCCAGACUCCUACGGGAGGCAGCAGUGGGGAAUAUUGCACAAUGGGCGCAAGCCUGAUGCAGCCAUGCCGCGUGUAUGAAGAAGGCCUUCGGGUUGUAAAGUACUUUCAGCGGGGAGGCGUUACCCGCAGAAGAAGCACCGGCUAACUCCGUGCCAGCAGCCGCGGUAAUUC
rnacentral:rRNA from 1 species